GACGUAGGUGGCGAACGUUAUCCGGAAUUAUUGGGCGUAAAGGGUGCGUAGAUGGCCUAAUAAGUUAUCGGUGGGAAAUCGAGGCCCAACCUCGUGGAAGCUGGUAAUACUGUUAGGCUUGAGUUCAGGAGAGGUUAACGGAACUCCAUGUGGAGCGGUAAAAUGCGUAGAUAUCAGGAGGAACACCGGUGGCGAAGGCGGUUCUCUGGGCCUGUACUGACGCUGAGGAGCGAAAGCGUGGGGAGCGAACAGG
rnacentral:rRNA from 1 species